CGCGUGAGAAGAAGCGGGGUGCUGUGAGGGAAAGGCGGCGGCGGAGGCGGCGUCGAUGGCGGCCACGAUGAACUUGGCCACUCUGCCCAACUCUGUGAUCCCCUGCAGCUCCAACUGGAAGUACACCAUGCGCCAGUGAGGAGCCGCUGCCAGAGGCAGGAACAAGCAAGAGGGUGCGGAAGCGUGCAGACGCGGGGGGGAAGGAGAGAGGCUCCCUGGGCAAAGCACCCGUCCCGUUAGCGGGGCGGCAGUCACAUUGAGUCCCAUUUGAGUUUGAGCGUUGCCGGCGCCUUGGCCGGCUUUGUGCUGGGCGACCUCCCUGUAAGCAGGGCUCGGGUCUUUGCUUUUGCUGUAGUUGGCCUUUUGCCUUGCUGCUCCUUUGGCUGCCUGGGGAGCGUGGGCCCCUGUAACGCAGGGCGAGAGCCACCUCUCCGCACCUGAGUGGGAAACGGAGCUCGCCGGACCCCGAGGCCACCCUGUAAGCAGGGUAGUGCCGUUUCCCCGCCCCUCUUCCUCCUGCGGCCCCUCGGCAUCAUCGUUGCCUGGAGGUGGCCUGUCAAUGCGAUGCGACGGCCCCGUACUCGGGGUGUGCGUCACGGCAUCUGGCCUUUGGCUUUAGCUGGGAAGCCCCUUGGCACGUUGAGGUCUGUGGCCUCCGUGCAGGCUAGGGACAGGUCACAGGCUCUUGUCUGUUGCCCGCGGUUGUGGGUUUAUUCCCAGGGUUUGGCUGCGCUGCGUUGUCCUUCCCUUUGGGAAAGUCGCCUGUGUGUGUGCGCGUUGCCCUUCCUUUCCUUGUUUGUGUUUGUGGAGUGAGAGCGACUGAGCUUUCCCUUUAGGCCCCCACCAAGAUGGCUGCAGCUUAGCUUCGACUUCCCUGGGGGGAACGGAGGACUGUGGUGCACGCCGCAAAAGGGGUGUUCCCUCUCAGUCCCGCGAGCGCAGCGAGUGUCCUGUCUUCCUCCUUUGUACUUGGUGUGGAUCAGGGCCACGUGGUGGUUGUGUGGCCGAGGCCGCUCUGUAGCCAGGGCUUGGGCCUGUUCUUGCGUGGGCGCCUGUUCCGCUGGUGGCGUGACAGCCCCGUAGCCGGGGCGUGUGUCCCAAGCUGCGGAGCCCUCUGUCCCCCGAGCGGCCCGCCCGCCCUGUAAUCAGGCGCGGGGAGGCUGCGGCGUUGCAGCCGGCUGCUCUAGCCAUCCAGCUGGUGGGAAUGACCCCUCCCUGUCCCGUCAGAGGGUGCAGGUUGAGGCGCUGCUUUUGCGUGUGGGGCGACCUCCCCGCUCGGUGGGUCGAGGCUGCUCCCUGGGUUCCCAAAGACGAGACGUUGGUGCUGUUGUGGUGCUGCCGGGCGGGCCAGCCUGUAGCUCAGGCGUUGGCGGGAGCCUCGUGCUCCGCGGGGCUUCUUGGUGAGGGUGGGCAGCGGGGGCACCGUCCUGUAGGCAGGGCUGCGCGUGCCCCCCGCGUGUGCUGGCUUGGUGAGCUGCGUUGUGAGAGACCCCCUGUACUCAGGCGGGAAUGUGGCCCCGGCCUUUCAGAGGCACGGGGCCGCGAGACGUGGGCUUGGGCUUGCGCCCUCCCCGGAAUCAGGGCUGGGGCCCCGACCGCGGCAUUUGGCCGUGCCGCCCCGCUGCCUGGCAGCUGAGAGUCGCUCCCGCCGCUGGGGGGGAAACCGAGCUCUGUGGCUCCAGGGGUGUCGUCCACCCGCCUGUAAUCAGGGUCUGGGUGCGCGAGCGCUUGUGCUCAGCUGGCAGCCUGUGUGGGGUGACCGCCCCGCUAGCGGGGUGCGGGUCCAGGUGCCCCCGGAGUGGGAGAGAAGGAGCCUCCCGCGGCCGCUAGGGAUGGGGGCUGCCCUGUAAGGCAGGGAGCGACAGUGCCCCGCAGUCCCAGGCCCUUUGCAAUGGAGGCAGUGGCCGGGGGUCCCCUGUAAGCAGGGAAGCUGCCUCUUUGGCCGCUGCUGUGUGUGUGCCCAGCUGCAUUUGCCCAGUCUGCCCGCCUCUGUGAUCCCCCGCAGCACCGGCUGGAAGCGCGCCGUGCGUCCGUGAGGAGCCGCUGCGGAAGAGAGAAGGAGAAGCGGCGUGGGAACGCGGGAGGCAGGAGCGAGCGCGCAAGCAAGCAAGCAAGAAGAGGAUGCGGAAGCGUGCAGACGCGGGGGGGAAGGAGAGAGGCUCCCUGGGCAAAGCACCCGUCCCGUUAGCGGGGCGGCAGUCACAUUGAGUCCCAUUUGAGUUUGAGCGUUGCCGGCGCCUUGGCCGGCUUUGUGCUGGGCGACCUCCCUGUAAGCAGGGCUCGGGUCUUUGCUUUUGCUGUAGUUGGCCUUUUGCCUUGCUGCUCCUUUGGCUGCCUGGGGAGCGUGGGCCCCUGUAACGCAGGGCGAGAGCCACCUCUCCGCACCUGAGUGGGAAACGGAGCUCGCCGGACCCCGAGGCCACCCUGUAAGCAGGGUAGUGCCGUUUCCCCGCCCCUCUUCCUCCUGCGGCCCCUCGGCAUCAUCGUUGCCUGGAGGUGGCCUGUCAAUGCGAUGCGACGGCCCCGUACUCGGGGUGUGCGUCACGGCAUCUGGCCUUUGGCUUUAGCUGGGAAGCCCCUUGGCACGUUGAGGUCUGUGGCCUCCGUGCAGGCUAGGGACAGGUCACAGGCUCUUGUCUGUUGCCCGCGGUUGUGGGUUUAUUCCCAGGGUUUGGCUGCGCUGCGUUGUCCUUCCCUUUGGGAAAGUCGCCUGUGUGUGUGCGCGUUGCCCUUCCUUUCCUUGUUUGUGUUUGUGGAGUGAGAGCGACUGAGCUUUCCCUUUAGGCCCCCACCAAGAUGGCUGCAGCUUAGCUUCGACUUCCCUGGGGGGAACGGAGGACUGUGGUGCACGCCGCAAAAGGGGUGUUCCCUCUCAGUCCCGCGAGCGCAGCGAGUGUCCUGUCUUCCUCCUUUGUACUUGGUGUGGAUCAGGGCCACGUGGUGGUUGUGUGGCCGAGGCCGCUCUGUAGCCAGGGCUUGGGCCUGUUCUUGCGUGGGCGCCUGUUCCGCUGGCGGCGUGACAGCCCCGUAGCCGGGGCGUGUGUCCCAAGCUGCGGAGCCCUCUGUCCCCCGAGCGGCCCGCCCGCCCUGUCAUCAGGCGCGGGGAGGCUGCGGCGUUGCAGCCGGCUGCUCUAGCCAUCCAGCUGGUGGGAAUGACCCCUCCCUGUCCCGUCAGAGGGUGCAGGUUGAGGCGCUGCUUUUGCGUGUGGGGCGACCUCCCCGCUCGGUGGGUCGAGGCUGCUCCCUGGGUUCCCAAAGACGAGACGUUGGUGCUGUUGUGGUGCUGCCGGGCGGGCCAGCCUGUAGCUCAGGCGUUGGCGGGAGCCUCGUGCUCCGCGGGGCUUCUUGGUGAGGGUGGGCAGCGGGGGCACCGUCCUGUAGGCAGGGCUGCGCGUGCCCCCCGCGUGUGCUGGCUUGGUGAGCUGCGUUGUGAGAGACCCCCUGUACUCAGGCGGGAAUGUGGCCCCGGCCUUUCAGAGGCACGGGGCCGCGAGACGUGGGCUUGGGCUUGCGCCCUCCCCGGAAUCAGGGCUGGGGCCCCGACCGCGGCAUUUGGCCGUGCCGCCCCGCUGCCUGGCAGCUGAGAGUCGCUCCCGCCGCUGGGGGGGAAACCGAGCUCUGUGGCUCCAGGGGUGUCGUCCACCCGCCUGUAAUCAGGGUCUGGGUGCGCGAGCGCUUGUGCUCAGCUGGCAGCCUGUGUGGGGUGACCGCCCCGCUAGCGGGGUGCGGGUCCAGGUGCCCCCGGAGUGGGAGAGAAGGAGCCUCCCGCGGCCGCUAGGGAUGGGGGCUGCCCUGUAAGGCAGGGAGCGACAGUGCCCCGCAGUCCCAGGCCCUUUGCAAUGGAGGCAGUGGCCGGGGGUCCCCUGUAAGCAGGGAAGCUGCCUCUUUGGCCGCUGCUGUGUGUGUGCCCAGCUGCAUUUGCCCAGUCUGCCCGCCUCUGUGAUCCCCCGCAGCACCGGCUGGAAGCGCGCCGUGCGUCCGUGAGGAGCCGCUGCGGAAGAGAGAAGGAGAAGCGGUGUGGGAACGCGGGAGGCAGGAGCGAGCGCGCAAGCAAGCAAGCAAGCAAGAAGAGGAUGCGGAAGCGUGCAGACGCGGGGGGGAAGGAGAGAGGCUCCCUGGGCAAAGCACCCGUCCCGUUAGCGGGGCGGCAGUCACAUUGAGUCCCAUUUGAGUUUGAGUGUUGCCGGCGCCUUGGCCGGCUUUGUGCUGGGCGACCUCCCUGUAAGCAGGGCUCGGGUCUUUGCUUUUGCUGUAGUUGGCCUUUUGCCUUGCUGCUCCUUUGGCUGCCUGGGGAGCGUGGGCCCCUGUAACGCAGGGCGAGAGCCACCUCUCCGCACCUGAGUGGGAAACGGAGCUCGCCGGACCCCGAGGCCACCCUGUAAGCAGGGUAGUGCCGUUUCCCCGCCCCUCUUCCUCCUGCGGCCCCUCGGCAUCAUCGUUGCCUGGAGGUGGCCUGUCAAUGCGAUGCGACGGCCCCGUACUCGGGGUGUGCGUCACGGCAUCUGGCCUUUGGCUUUAGCUGGGAAGCCCCUUGGCACGUUGAGGUCUGUGGCCUCCGUGCAGGCUAGGGACAGGUCACAGGCUCUUGUCUGUUGCCCGCGGUUGUGGGUUUAUUCCCAGGGUUUGGCUGCGCUGCGUUGUCCUUCCCUUUGGGAAAGUCGCCUGUGUGUGUGCGCGUUGCCCUUCCUUUCCUUGUUUGUGUUUGUGGAGUGAGAGCGACUGAGCUUUCCCUUUAGGCCCCCACCAAGAUGGCUGCAGCUUAGCUUCGACUUCCCUGGGGGGAACGGAGGACUGUGGUGCACGCCGCAAAAGGGGUGUUCCCUCUCAGUCCCGCGAGCGCAGCGAGUGUCCUGUCUUCCUCCUUUGUACUUGGUGUGGAUCAGGGCCACGUGGUGGUUGUGUGGCCGAGGCCGCUCUGUAGCCAGGGCUUGGGCCUGUUCUUGCGUGGGCGCCUGUUCCGCUGGCGGCGUGACAGCCCCGUAGCCGGGGCGUGUGUCCCAAGCUGCGGAGCCCUCUGUCCCCCGAGCGGCCCGCCCGCCCUGUCAUCAGGCGCGGGGAGGCUGCGGCGUUGCAGCCGGCUGCUCUAGCCAUCCAGCUGGUGGGAAUGACCCCUCCCUGUCCCGUCAGAGGGUGCAGGUUGAGGCGCUGCUUUUGCGUGUGGGGCGACCUCCCCGCUCGGUGGGUCGAGGCUGCUCCCUGGGUUCCCAAAGACGAGACGUUGGUGCUGUUGUGGUGCUGCCGGGCGGGCCAGCCUGUAGCUCAGGCGUUGGCGGGAGCCUCGUGCUCCGCGGGGCUUCUUGGUGAGGGUGGGCAGCGGGGGCACCGUCCUGUAGGCAGGGCUGCGCGUGCCCCCCGCGUGUGCUGGCUUGGUGAGCUGCGUUGUGAGAGACCCCCUGUACUCAGGCGGGAAUGUGGCCCCGGCCUUUCAGAGGCACGGGGCCGCGAGACGUGGGCUUGGGCUUGCGCCCUCCCCGGAAUCAGGGCUGGGGCCCCGACCGCGGCAUUUGGCCGUGCCGCCCCGCUGCCUGGCAGCUGAGAGUCGCUCCCGCCGCUGGGGGGGAAACCGAGCUCUGUGGCUCCAGGGGUGUCGUCCACCCGCCUGUAAUCAGGGUCUGGGUGCGCGAGCGCUUGUGCUCAGCUGGCAGCCUGUGUGGGGUGACCGCCCCGCUAGCGGGGUGCGGGUCCAGGUGCCCCCGGAGUGGGAGAGAAGGAGCCUCCCGCGGCCGCUAGGGAUGGGGGCUGCCCUGUAAGGCAGGGAGCGACAGUGCCCCGCAGUCCCAGGCCCUUUGCAAUGGAGGCAGUGGCCGGGGGUCCCCUGUAAGCAGGGAAGCUGCCUCUUUGGCCGCUGCUGUGUGUGUGCCCAGCUGCAUUUGCCCAGUCUGCCCGCCUCUGUGAUCCCCCGCAGCACCGGCUGGAAGCGCGCCGUGCGUCCGUGAGGAGCCGCUGCGGAAGAGAGAAGGAGAAGCGGCGUGGGAACGCGGGAGGCAGGAGCGAGCGCGCAAGCAAGCAAGCAAGCAAGAAGAGGAUGCGGAAGCGUGCAGACGCGGGGGGGAAGGAGAGAGGCUCCCUGGGCAAAGCACCCGUCCCGUUAGCGGGGCGGCAGUCACAUUGAGUCCCAUUUGAGUUUGAGCGUUGCCGGCGCCUUGGCCGGCUUUGUGCUGGGCGACCUCCCUGUAAGCAGGGCUCGGGUCUUUGCUUUUGCUGUAGUUGGCCUUUUGCCUUGCUGCUCCUUUGGCUGCCUGGGGAGCGUGGGCCCCUGUAACGCAGGGCGAGAGCCACCUCUCCGCACCUGAGUGGGAAACGGAGCUCGCCGGACCCCGAGGCCACCCUGUAAGCAGGGUAGUGCCGUUUCCCCGCCCCUCUUCCUCCUGCGGCCCCUCGGCAUCAUCGUUGCCUGGAGGUGGCCUGUCAAUGCGAUGCGACGGCCCCGUACUCGGGGUGUGCGUCACGGCAUCUGGCCUUUGGCUUUAGCUGGGAAGCCCCUUGGCACGUUGAGGUCUGUGGCCUCCGUGCAGGCUAGGGACAGGUCACAGGCUCUUGUCUGUUGCCCGCGGUUGUGGGUUUAUUCCCAGGGUUUGGCUGCGCUGCGUUGUCCUUCCCUUUGGGAAAGUCGCCUGUGUGUGUGCGCGUUGCCCUUCCUUUCCUUGUUUGUGUUUGUGGAGUGAGAGCGACUGAGCUUUCCCUUUAGGCCCCCACCAAGAUGGCUGCAGCUUAGCUUCGACUUCCCUGGGGGGAACGGAGGACUGUGGUGCACGCCGCAAAAGGGGUGUUCCCUCUCAGUCCCGCGAGCGCAGCGAGUGUCCUGUCUUCCUCCUUUGUACUUGGUGUGGAUCAGGGCCACGUGGUGGUUGUGUGGCCGAGGCCGCUCUGUAGCCAGGGCUUGGGCCUGUUCUUGCGUGGGCGCCUGUUCCGCUGGCGGCGUGACAGCCCCGUAGCCGGGGCGUGUGUCCCAAGCUGCGGAGCCCUCUGUCCCCCGAGCGGCCCGCCCGCCCUGUAAUCAGGCGCGGGGAGGCUGCGGCGUUGCAGCCGGCUGCUCUAGCCAUCCAGCUGGUGGGAAUGACCCCUCCCUGUCCCGUCAGAGGGUGCAGGUUGAGGCGCUGCUUUUGCGUGUGGGGCGACCUCCCCGCUCGGUGGGUCGAGGCUGCUCCCUGGGUUCCCAAAGACGAGACGUUGGUGCUGUUGUGGUGCUGCCGGGCGGGCCAGCCUGUAGCUCAGGCGUUGGCGGGAGCCUCGUGCUCCGCGGGGCUUCUUGGUGAGGGUGGGCAGCGGGGGCACCGUCCUGUAGGCAGGGCUGCGCGUGCCCCCCGCGUGUGCUGGCUUGGUGAGCUGCGUUGUGAGAGACCCCCUGUACUCAGGCGGGAAUGUGGCCCCGGCCUUUCAGAGGCACGGGGCCGCGAGACGUGGGCUUGGGCUUGCGCCCUCCCCGGAAUCAGGGCUGGGGCCCCGACCGCGGCAUUUGGCCGUGCCGCCCCGCUGCCUGGCAGCUGAGAGUCGCUCCCGCCGCUGGGGGGGAAACCGAGCUCUGUGGCUCCAGGGGUGUCGUCCACCCGCCUGUAAUCAGGGUCUGGGUGCGCGAGCGCUUGUGCUCAGCUGGCAGCCUGUGUGGGGUGACCGCCCCGCUAGCGGGGUGCGGGUCCAGGUGCCCCCGGAGUGGGAGAGAAGGAGCCUCCCGCGGCCGCUAGGGAUGGGGGCUGCCCUGUAAGGCAGGGAGCGACAGUGCCCCGCAGUCCCAGGCCCUUUGCAAUGGAGGCAGUGGCCGGGGGUCCCCUGUAAGCAGGGAAGCUGCCUCUUUGGCCGCUGCUGUGUGUGUGCCCAGCUGCAUUUGCCCAGUCUGCCCGCCUCUGUGAUCCCCCGCAGCACCGGCUGGAAGCGCGCCGUGCGUCCGUGAGGAGCCGCUGCGGAAGAGAGAAGGAGAAGU